ensembl:lncRNA
AUUUUGGUUUUCAUGUGACGUAUGACCCUGAAGGCUGACAGGCUGGGUGACAGGCACCUUCAGGCCUGGUGGGUGUGGCCCUGCCAGGUGGCUGGCCAAACCUGAAGUUCAUGCCACGCACCUGCAGCUGCUCAGCCUCGUUGGGGGAGAAACUCGUUGUGUGAAACUCCAUGAGGCAGCGAGCACGGGGUGUGCGGACACAGAAGUGGAGAACAUGAAGCACUGACUUCGGGAGCAGAACACACAACACGGGAGUGCAUGGGGAUUUAUUGUGUAAUAUUUACAGCACUGUAAAUAAACGCACUGCUUUCAUCACAAGAGUUCUGCAUUUGGGUCCUUCUUCCCCACACCCCCACGGCCUGCCACCGCAGACUAUGACACAGCCAAUGAUCAAUGACCACUGAUCAAUGGCCAUGAGUACUGUUCACAGAAAAUUAGGGAAUG